UCUGGUGUUCCGGUUGUCACGCCUUGUCACGCCAGUGGCAUUGCCGGGUAGCUAUGUUCGGAAAAGAUAACCGCUGAAAGCAUCUAAGCGGGAAACUUGCCUCAAGAUGAGAUCUCACUGGGAACUUGAUUCCCCUGAAGGGCCGUCGAAGACUACGACGUUGAUAGGCUGGGUGUGUAAGCGUUGUGAGGCGUUGAGCUAACCAGUACUAAUUGCCCGUGAGGCUUGACCAUAUAACACCCAAACA
rnacentral:rRNA from 1 species